AAAUAAAUAAAAUGCGUACAAAAUUCCCACUACAAACAAUAGAGUACGGAAAAUUUAAAUGGGAUCACACAAUAAUAGCAACUAACAAUAAAGUUACAGAGGCAUAAAUCUUCAAACAAUUUCAAGCAUACAGAAAACAUUUUCAAAUUUUGGAGUAUGAUAACUAGCUAUAAACACAACACACAUAUGCAUAUACUAUAUCGACAGAACCUAAGGAAGAAUGGUG
rnacentral:misc_RNA from 1 species